rnacentral:lncRNA from 1 species
CGGAAAGCCUCUGCCCCUUCCUAAACUCGCGUCCGACGAUGGCGAAAGACCGACGGCGACGACGGCUUCAGGGGCCGAUUCAGGUGAGUCUUUUCUUUUCUCUUUUUUGAUUUUUUUAAUUACUUUAAAAUAGAUUUGCAAAGAAAAAAAUAAAACACAAUAGGAUACAAUACAAAACAAGAAGAAAUAGUAAGGAUUCAACCUUUUAAAAUUUCUAUAUCGCUCUUGAUUUCUGAUGUGGGUUUUUACAAAGAAGAAUCCCCCCAAAUACAGUGAUGAAGCCCCCCCUUUUACAUUGUUUUUCAAGGCUUAUAAAGCCGAAAAUCAACCCAUUCUCUGCCCCUUUUGCUGCUUCUAUUCCCCUUUUUUAUGUUGCUUGCAGGUACUUGACGAAGGCAGAGGCGUGGCUUGCCGUUUUGGUGCUAGGCGGUGGCUAGGGUGUCAGGUAAGCCUCGGGACGAGGCGCGGAUGGUACGCCCGAGGGAGUAGCGCACAUGGGCAGUAGGGCUACGGCGCGAAAGGGCAGGGAACCCUAGGGUUCCCUGUGCUGUUUAGUUUUUUGGGCCCCAAUAGGCCGUUUUAAAUUUUGGGCCUUGGGCUAUUGGGUAUUUGUUUUUGUAAUUGGGCCUCGGGUUAAUAUUUUUGGCACUAGGCCCGGGUAAAAUUGGGUCUGUACA